GACGAACGGCUGGCGGCGUGCCUAACACAUGCAAGUCGAGCGGAGUCGAUCGACGGAAGCCUUCGGGCGGAAGAUGGUUGACUUAGCGGCGGAUGGGUGAGUAACGCGUGGGCAACCUGCCUCGAAGACCGGGAUAACAGCCCGAAAGGGCUGCUAAUACCGGAUGUGGUCAAGGAUCCGCAUGGAUUUUGAUUAAAGGGGAAACCCGUUUCGAGAUGGGCCCGCGUCCUAUCAGCUAGUUGGUGAGGUAAAAGCUCACCAAGGCGACGACGGGUAGCCGGCCUGAGAGGGUGACCGGCCACACUGGAACUGAGACACGGUCCAGACUCCUACGGGGGGCAGCAGUGGGGAAUCUUCCACAAUGGGCGAAAGCCUGAUGGAGCGACGCCGCGUGAGCGAAGAAGGCCUUCGGGUUGUAAAGCUCUGUCUGGAGGGACGAAGGAAGUGACGGUACCUCCGGAGGAAGCCACGGCUAACUACGUG
rnacentral:rRNA from 1 species